AUACGUAGGGGGCGAGCGUUGUCCGGAAUGAUUGGGCGUAAAGGGCGCGUAGGCGGCCCGGUAAGUCUGGAGUGAAAGUCCUGUUUUUAAGAUGGGAAUUGCUUUGGAUACUGUCGGGCUUGAGUGCAGGAGAGGUAAGUGGAAUUCCCAGUGUAGCGGUGAAAUGCGUAGAGAUUGGGAGGAACACCAGUGGCGAAGGCGAAUUACUGGACUGUAACUGGAGCUGAGGCGCGAUAUUGUGGGGAGAAAACAGGAUUAGACACCCGGGUAGUCCACACUAUAAACGAUGAUUGCUAAUUGUAGGGGGUAUCCACCCCUUCUGUGCCGCAGUCAACACAAUAAGCAUUCAGACUGGGAAGCAAGGCCGCAAGGUUGAAACUCAAAGGAAUUGUCGUGG
rnacentral:rRNA from 1 species